rnacentral:rRNA from 1 species
CCUACGGGUGGCAGCAGUGGGGAAUAUUGCACAAUGGGCGCAACCCUGAUCCAGCAACGCCGCGUGAAUGAUGACUGCCCUAGGGGUUUAAAACUCUGUCUUCAGAGGCGUUAAGGACGGUACCUGAGGAUGAAGCCACGGCUAACUUCGUGCCAGCAGCCGCGGUAAUACGGAGGUUGCGAGCGUUGUCCGGAUUUACUGGGCGUAAAGGGAGCGUAGGCGGGUUUUUAAGUGAGAUGUGAAGUACUCCGGCUCAACCUGAGUGCUGCAUUUGAAACUGGAAGUCUAGAGUGCAGGAGAGGAGAAUGGAAUUCCUAGUGUAGCGGUGAAAUGCGUAGAGAUUAGGAAGAACACCAGUGGCGAAGGCGAUUUUCUGGACUGCAACUGACGCUGAUGCUCGAAAGUGUGGGGAGCAAACAGGAUUAGAUACCCGAGUAGUC